rnacentral:rRNA from 1 species
AAUUAAUCCACGACCAGCUUCCGCUAGCCGUGCCUUGUUACGACUUACUCCCUGUUACCGAUUUUACCUUAGUCCUUCUUGCGAAAGCCUUUGGGUACCCCCGGCUCCCUUGAGUUGACGGGCAGUGAGUACAAGAGACGAGAACGUAUUCACUGCGGUAUAGCUGACCCGCAAUUACUAGCAAUUCCUACUUCAUGAGGUCGAGUUGCAGACCUCAAUCUGAACUGGCGCACUGUUUAAGGAUUGGCUCAGGGUUACCCCGUCGCGACCCGCUGUCAAUGCGAUUGUAUUAUGUGUGUAGCCCAGGAUGUCAAAGGGACAUGCUGACCUGGCGUCAUCCUCGCCUUCCUCCCCCGAUGAGGGGCAGUCUCGUAUGACACGUAUAACAUACGAUGAGGGUUGCGUUCGUUACCCCACUGAAGGGAACAGCUCAAACCACGAACUGACGACGGCCAUGCAUCACCUGCCAAAUUGUCUUGCGAGGGAUCUAUUUCUAGACCUUUCAACUUGGUUUCAAAUCCUGGUGAGGUUCUUCGUUUACCGUCGAAUUAAACCACAUAAUCCACUGCUUGUGCGUCUCCCCGUCUAUUCCUUUGAGUUUUAAGCUUGCGCUCGUACUUCCCAGGCGGCUCUCUUACCGCGUUAGCUAAGCCACUAGGAGGGUCGAUACUCCUAAUAGCGAGAGAGCAACGUUUAGGGCGUGGACUACUGGGGUAUCUAAUCCCAUUCGCUACCCACGCUUUCGUCUUUGAGUGUCAAUAAUGCGCCAGUAUACUGCUUUCGCUUUUGGUGUUCCCCAUAAUAUCAACGGAUUUCACCCCUACACUAUGAGUUCCGUAUACCUAUCGCAUAUUCUAGCUUAACCGUUUCCCCCGCAGGCUUUGGGUUGAGCCCAAAGAUUUAACGGGAGACUAAUUAAGCAACCUACAGACCCUUUACGCCCAAUAAUUCCGGAUAACGCUCGGACCACUCGUAUUACCGCUGCUGCUGGCACGAGUUUAGCAGGUCCUUAUUCAUGAGGUACCUUCAAUAAACUUAUUCCCUCAUAAAAGAUGUUUACAAACCGAAGCUCUUCAUCCAUCACGCGGCGUCGCUCCAUCAGACUUUCGUCCAUUGUGGAAGAUUCUCGACUGCAGCCACCCGUAGGUGUAUGGGCCGUGUCUCAGUCCCAUCGGUGGAGGUCAGGCUCUCACCCCUCCUAAGCGUCAUAGCCUUGGUAAGCAAUUACCUUACCAACUAGCUGAUACUGUUCAGGCCAAUCCAGAAGCGAUAAAUCUUUACUCUCGCGAGACCAUCUUGUAUUAGUCGACCUUUCGAUCGGUUAUCCAAGACUUCUGGGUAUGUUCCUAAAUAUUACUACCUCGUUUGCCACUAAACUGUCACGCUUUCACAUAAACUCCAUCAUUGUAUUACUACUCAAACUUUGUAAAUGCUUCCAUGUGAUUAGUUCCGUUCGACUUGCAUGCCUUAUCCACGCCGCCAGCGUUCAUCCUGAGCUAGGAUCAAACUCU